UAUGACAGCAGACGAAGAAGAAGUGACUCAUCUGCCAGGGACAAGCACAAAGAUCGAGAUUAUGACAGGGAACGGGAUCGCUACCGAAGAAGAGAUCGUAGCCCUAACAGGAGUGGCAGAGGAAUCCGUGAUUUCGAAAGGGGCUCAGAAUUGGAAACACCGGACUUCCAGAAAUGGGAGAAGCAGAAGCAGGGAGAGAUACCUGGAACGUGAUAGAAGCAGGUUACACUCUCCUAUUAGACUUGGUUCCAAGAGGUCAAGUUCGCAAGAAUUAUAACUGUGGCCAGCCACUGAAGAACAUUUUGCAAUCUCUCUUUUGGGGAGCAAAAUAUAAAAAACUCAAAUGAAGAAUGGAUGAUAUCGAUAACUUUACCUUAUCAAAAAAAAAAAAAAAAAAAAAAAAACACCCUGGAUGAUAUCGAUAAUGGCUUUUCAGCAUCUCCUUGGGAGUCCUUCAGCAAGAAUAACUGAGAUCAAGCAUGAAGUUGAGCAUCAUGUUCCUCCUCCGUUCCGCAGAGAGCAUGUAUUUGCGAAAAAAAUUGGCGUUCUGGAGUAGUUUUUGGCUAGAAAGCAUUUUGUGGAAGGAUUUCAAAGAACAUAAAGUUGACUUCAAUCUUCCACUGCGAUUGCCAAGGACGACGAAGGUAUUCCCGGAAUAUUGAUAAAAUUUGGACUUAUUGAAUUCUCCCUUACUCCCGUUGUAGCAGCAGCUGGCUUCAAGUACUGAUAAGACGUGUAUCCAUUUUCCCAAUAAGAAGAUUGUCUCUUCUUUUUUCGAGAGAUCUCACCUCUGCUUCCCUCUCAGUCUCGCUCUGUUUCCCCCCUGGUUAGCAUCUUUCUUCUUCUUCCUUUCGUCUCAAUUGUAGCCCUACUGUCUGUUUCAUCAGGAUUAUGCAGCUGACUGCUUAAACUUUCUAAUUGUGGAGUGCAUGUGUCUCUAUUCUUUGUUUGUUUAAUGCUCUUGGUUAUUGCUGAUGAGAUUUUGGUGGACAAUUGGAAGUACUUUUUCCGUUCUUAUGGAUAGUUCUUGUUGGAUACAUGCAUGUGCAUUUCUGUCUGAUUUACAGACUAGUGCAAAGAUGGUGCUUGGUACUUGGCUAAAAGGCUAUAACUACUGAAUGCUGCUGCUGCUACUACUACUACUUUUUUUAAUAAACAAUAUAUCUUCUGACAGGUGUUCUACAUCUUGCAAAUUGAGGUGCAAUUAAUGGAUUUCAUUAUUAUUUUUAAUAAGCUCGGUUGAUAUUGAGGUGCAAUUAAUGGAUUAAUGCUCUGUGCUUUAUCUGUGUUGACUUGGCUGAUUGAUGAUUGCAGGUAAAUGGGUUGAUUUUGGCUUUGAUGCGUAUCGGAUCAGAGUACAGCAUUUAGUUUGAAUGCUGGCUAGAGAACUCGCAGGAAUGUGAGAUUUUUACUUGUAGGAGAUUGAAGCUUUGACGAUCGUCCUCUCCUUUAAGACAAUUCCUCGAACAAUGGGGAUUGGAAUUUCACUGAUAUAUACCUUUCCACUCCCUGGCCACAUCUCGGUGAGCAACCGGAAAGUAUCUGUAUGGAGUGAAAUUUGGAAUUGAUGGGUGGACAAUCCAGGUGGUGACACGUGGCAAUAUGGACAGGUCAGGCGUGAGUCGGCAGAAGUAGUAUCUGGUCCACUUCACAUGCUUGGCCAGCGAGCAUCCUGAGCUAUCAGUAGCCGGAGUCAUGGCUCCGGAGAUGAGGAGCCGACCACAGGGGGUUGACCGGAUAAGAUAAGGCUGUUACGGAAGAUGCCAAGAAUACUGCCAACCGUUACUUAGCCUCAAUAAUGAGCACUUAAUGGAAUUUAUGAGGGCAUUACUUAUGGAUCUUGUUCCCUGAAAUUUAGCUAUAAGUGGCAUCUUACCUUGUUGAAGGGCAUUCAGAUUCUGGUUAGCUUUCAACGCAUGACACUUGUACUUUGUUAUUCUUGCUCGUUCACAAGCUUUAUUAUACCGUCGCAUAGUCCAACUCAGGAGCUCAGUCCGGCGGCCUUGCCAGCUUAUAACGUCGGAACUCAGGCUGCACUUGCUUGUUUAUCAAAUUACUCAAUUCUUGUUAUUUUGUUCUUUAAUCAUAUUACUGUGUUAUACUUCUUAUUCAUUCGCUUUGGUCAUCUCAAUUCGCGUGUCCAUAAAUCACGUGUACAAAUUCAACAGUACUGUUUUACAGGUAAAAAGUACGUAAGUGGCUUCUUGUCUCUUCAAUGGAACACGAUGUUCUUCAAUUUAACAUUUGUCCACUUGCGUGA